GCAAGUCGAGCGGAAAGCCUUUCGGGGGUACUCGAGCGGCGAACGGGUGAGUAACACGUGAGUAAUCUGCCCUUGGCUUCGGGAUAGCCACCGGAAACGGUGAUUAAUACCGGAUACGACACAUCACUGCAUGGUGCGUGUGUGGAAAGUUUUUUCGGCCAGGGAUGUGCUCGCGGCCUAUCAGCUUGUUGGUGGGGUAAUGGCCUACCAAGGCUUCGACGGGUAGCCGGCCUGAGAGGGUGACCGGCCACACUGGGACUGAGACACGGCCCAGACUCCUACGGGAGGCAGCAGUGGGGAAUAUUGGACAAUGGGCGGAAGCCUGAUCCAGCAACGCCGCGUGAGGGAUGACGGCCUUCGGGUUGUAAACCUCUUUCAGCACAGACGAAGCGCAAGUGACGGUAUGUGCAGAAGAAGGACCGGCCAACUACGUGCCAGCAGCCGCGGUAAUACGUAGGGUCCGAGCGUUGUCCGGAAUUAUUGGGCGUAAAGGGCUCGUAGGCGGUUUGUCGCGUCGGGAGUGAAAACACCGGGCUUAACUCGGUGCUUGCUUUCGAUACGGGCAGACUAGAGGUAUUCAGGGGAGAACGGAAUUCCUGGUGUAGCGGUGAAAUGCGCAGAUAUCAGGAGGAACACCGGUGGCGAAGGCGGGUCUCUGGGAAUAUCCUGACGC
rnacentral:rRNA from 1 species